UACGAAGGGGGCUAGCGUUGCUCGGAAUCACUGGGCGUAAAGCGCACGUAGGCGGACUCUUAAGUCGGUGGUGAAAUCCUGGAGCUCAACCACAGAAUUGCCUUCGAUACUGUAUGGCUUGAGACCGGAAGAGGUAAGUGGAACUGCGAGUGUAGAGGUGAAAUUCGUAGAUAUUCGCAAGAACACCAGUGGCGAAGGCGGCUCACUGGUCCGGUACUGACGCUGAGGUGCGAAGGCGUGGGGAGCAAACAGG
rnacentral:rRNA from 1 species